rnacentral:rRNA from 1 species
AGAGUUUGAUCAUGGCUCAGGAUGAACGCUGGCGGCGUGCCUAAUACAUGCAAGUCGAACGAGCCCACGCAAGUGGGCGAGUGGCGAACGGGUGAGUAACGCGUUGGUGACCUGCCCCCGAGUGUGGGAUACCAGCCCGAAAGGGCUGCUAAUACCGCAUGUCCUCGGUCGGAUUAGAAGCGAUCGAGGAAAGGCCCGCAAGGGUCGCUGGGGGAGGGGCCUGCGUCCCAUCAGCUGGUUGGUAGGGUAACGGCCUACCAAGGCGAUGACGGGUAGGGGACCUGAGAGGGUGGCCCCCCACAAUGGAACUGAAACACGGUCCAUACACCUACGGGUGGCAGCAGUAGGGAAUAUUGCAUAAUGGGCGCAAGCCCGAUGCAGCAACGCCGCGUGCGCGAUGAAGGCCUUCGGGUCGUAAAGCGCUUUUCGGAGGGAUGAGGAAGGACAGUACCUUCGGAAGAAGUCUCGGCUAACUACGUGCCAGCAGCCGCGGUAAAACGUAGGAGGCAAGCGUUAUCCGGAUUUACUGGGCGUAAAGCGCGUGCAGGCGGCAGGGCAAGUUGGAUGUGAAAGCUCCCGGCUCAACUGGGAGAGGUCGUUCAAGACUGCCCGGCUGGAGGAUGGUAGAGGGAGGUGGAAUUCCGGGUGUAGUGGUGAAAUGCGUAGAUAUCCGGAGGAACACCAGUGGCGAAAGCGGCCUCCUGGACCAAUCCUGACGCUCAGACGCGAAAGCUAGGGUAGCAAACGGGAUUAGAUACCCCAGUAGUCC